GGAUGAGUUCAGUUGGUCAGAGCAGGGUGCUGAUAACACCAACCUCAUGGGCUCAAAUCCCAUAUGGACCA